rnacentral:rRNA from 1 species
AUUGAACGCUGGCGGCAGGCCUAACACAUGCAAGUCGAACGAGUAGCGGACGGGUGAGUAGGUGAUGGGAAACUGCCUGAUGGAGGGGGAUAACUACUAGAAACGGUGGCUAAUGCCGCAUACGAUCGGAUCGGCCCAGGGGGAAUUAGCUAGUAGGUGGGGUAAAGGCUCACUUAGGCGACGAUCCCUAGCUGGGCUGCGAGGAUGACCAGUCACACUGGAACGGAGACACGGUCCAGACUCCUACGGGAGGCAGCAGUGGGGAAUAUUGGACAAGGGGCGCAAGCCGGAUGCAGCCAUGCCGCGUGUAUGAAGAAGGCCUUCGGGUUGUAAAGUACUUUUAGCGGGGAGGCGUUACCCGCAGAAGAAGCACCGGCUAACUCCGUGCCAGCAGCCGCGGUAAUUC